rnacentral:rRNA from 1 species
UACGGGGGGGGCAAGCGUUGUUCGGAAUUACUGGGCGUAAAGGGCUCGUAGGUGGCCAACUAAGUCAGACGUGAAAUCCCUCGGCUUAACCGGGGAACUGCGUCUGAUACUGGAUGGCUUGAGGUUGGGAGAGGGAUGCGGAAUUCCAGGUGUAGCGGUGAAAUGCGUAGAUAUCUGGAGGAACACCGGUGGCGAAGGCGGCAUCCUGGACCAAUUCUGACGCUGAGGAGCGAAAGCCAGGGGAGCAAACGGGG